UACGUAGGGGGCAAGCGUUGUCCGGAAUCAUUGGGCGUAAAGAGCGUGUAGGCGGUCCGAUAAGUCCGCUCUGAAAGUCCGGGGCUCAACCCUGGGAGGCGGGCGGAUACUGUCGGGCUAGAGUCCGGAAGAGGCAAGUGGAAUUCCUGGUGUAGCGGUGAAAUGCGCAGAUAUCAGGAGGAACACCGAUGGCGAAGGCAGCUUGCUGGGACGGUACUGACGCUGAGACGCGAAAGCGUGGGGAGCAAACAGG
rnacentral:rRNA from 1 species